rnacentral:sRNA from 1 species
GCCGGGUGUGGUGACACACACCUGCAAUCCCAGCAGCGCAGGAGGCUGAGACAGGAGGAUCUCAAGUUCAAAGCCAGCCUCAGCAGCAGGGAGGUGCUAAGCUACUCAGUGAGACCCUGUCUCAA